GACGAACGCUGGCGGCGUGCUUAACACAUGCAAGUCGAACGGAAAGGCCCUGCUUUUGUGGGGUGCUCGAGUGGCGAACGGGUGAGUAACACGUGAGUAACCUGCCCUUGACUUUGGGAUAACUUCAGGAAACUGGGGCUAAUACCGGAUAGGAGCUCCUGCUGCAUGGUGGGGGUUGGAAAGUUUCGGCGGUUGGGGAUGGACUCGCGGCUUAUCAGCUUGUUGGUGGGGUAGUGGCUUACCAAGGCUUUGACGGGUAGCCGGCCUGAGAGGGUGACCGGACACGUUGGGCUUGGAAUACGACCCAGCCCCGAACGGGAGGGAAGAGAGGGGAAGAGUGCAUUAUGGGCGGAAGCCUGGCGCGACAAAGCCGCGUGGGGGAUGACGGCCUGCGGGUUGUAAACCGAUUUCGCCUGUGACGAGGCGUGAGUGACGGUAAUGGGUAAAGAAGCACCGGCUAACUACGUG
rnacentral:rRNA from 1 species